AUCCACCUGAUGAGUCCCAAACAGGACGAAACGUGCAUCCUGGAU
rnacentral:hammerhead_ribozyme from 1 species